GGCUGGGAGGUACAGCAGGAAGAACAGGGGCUUUCACCCGGGCUGGCCUGGGUUCAAAUCCCGGCCCAGCCC
rfam:Heterocephalus glaber contig141064, whole genome shotgun sequence.